rnacentral:lncRNA from 1 species
CCCACGCCCCUUGCGGCGGGGUGGGAGCCCAGCCGCACACUGCGCAUGCUCCGAGCGCGGCGCCCCCGACGCGGCGUUCGGCUCGGCUCGGGCAUUUCCGCCUCUUUGUUUUAAACUCCGGACGGGCUUUUUUCUCCUCCUCUUGGGGGGGACCCAGAGGGAGCGGCGCCCCCUCCCCCCCUCCGGCGCGGACCCCGCGUGCGCCUUGCUCGCCCGCAGCCCGGAGACCGCAGGUUUUUAGAGGUGUGUGUUUGGACGAACGGAGGCAGGAUGGUGCACUUCCGGGUUCUUCUUCACCACCAACUCUUCCCGUGCGUGCGAGAAUGCAGCUGACGCCCGGG